rnacentral:piRNA from 1 species
UAAUAGUAGUAAAAAGCCGGA